UGCUUGGGUAGCUCAACUGGUAGAGCACUUCCCUGCGAAGGACAGAGGUCCCGAGUUCGAGUCUCGGUCCAGCAA